UUCAGCCUAUAUUUUGAGUAUAAUAAUGAAGUUCCCUAAUAUUUUUAGCAGGGAAAAAAAAAAAAAAAAACCAUCUCAGUGCCCCACUCACUAUUUUAUAAUAACAUAUCAUAAAUAAACACAUCGAUUUGUUUUGGGGGAGCUUCUGUAAUGAGGGAUAAAAGUGAAAGAUUAUAAUGAGGGUAUUCAAUCCAGCGUCCAAUAAUAAUUUUGCACUAGAUCGAACGACUAUUAAGUAACCCCUCAUUAUAAGUCCUCAUUUUUACCCCUCAAUAUAGCCUCCAAGAGGUUUGGGUUGGGUUGCACCAACAAUUAUACUUCAAUGAAGAUGGUUAGUUAGUUUAGUUACUAAAUGGGACCAUAUAUAGAGAAACGUGUCCAGCAUGUCCGUGAAUUGAUAACAACCUUUGAUGUGUUGGUUUAAGGUUUUAUGAGGAACAACAAAACCAAACCUAUCCACCCAACAACUCCUUGGCUACGAAUUAAAUCCAUGGAAUAACAAGUGGGCAGUGAGGCUAAAAUCAUCAAGUCCCUCCUAAUGGAGGAGGUCUUGGAUGGACCGGAUAGAUCAAAAUACAUAGAAAAUUUGACUUUUGUGUGGGUGAUCAGAUACAAUAAUCCGACCGACAAACAUAAGAAUUUCUCUUCAAUCAGAUCAUUAAAAAUUGCUUACUUACCAACCUUCUAGGAGGAACAACUAAACCAAACUUAUUCACCCAACAACUCAUUGGCUACUAAUUAAAUCCAUGGAAUAACAAGUGCGCAGUGGGG
rnacentral:lncRNA from 1 species